rnacentral:rRNA from 1 species
UACGAAGGGGGCUAGCGUUGCUCGGAAUCACUGGGCGUAAAGGGUGCGUAGGCGGGUUUCUAAGUCAGAGGUGAAAGCCUGGAGCUCAACUCCAGAAUUGCCUUUAAGACUGCAUCGCUAGAAUUGUGGAGAGGUAAGUGGAAUUCCGAGUGUAGAGGUGAAAUUCGUAGAUAUUCGGAAGAACACCAGUGGCGAAGGCGACUUACUGGACACAUAUUGACGCUGAGGUGCGAAAGCGUGGGGAGCAAACAGG